ensembl:ncRNA F32A6.10 ncRNA
GAAAGAAAAGUCAAUAAGAAUGUUGCUUGACACCAACUCACGCCAUACUUCAAGAAUAAAACAUGAGAUGGGCUCCGACGGCGCCAGAUCUAUAAACGUCUCAUUGUGACUUUGUUAGGCCAGAAACUUAGAAAACUUAGUUUUACAUCUUCUCUCUUGCUCUGCAAAAUCAGAAUUUUUUUUCCGGUUAUCACCUGUUUUUCUGAAUUGUCAAUUGCUUUUUGAGUAUAAAACUCAUGGGCUAUAUUGAAGACGCUUUUCUCACCCGCCGUAGAUGAUGGAUGAUCUACUUCAACGGCGUUGAAAAAUUGUUGUUUGUUUUCCGCGAGAACAACAAAUCAACCGAAAGUACUUCUGGGAAUUAGCUCGGCGGUUCGGUUGUGCAGUGCCACUGCAGAAAGGCGCGAAAAAACAUUUGACCAGACGGAAAUACGAAUAGGUCA